UACAGGGGGGGCAAGCGUUGUUCGGAAUUACUGGGCGUAAAGGGUUCGUAGGUGGCCAACUAAGUCAUACGUGAAAUCCCUCAGCUUAACUGGGGAACUGCGCCUGAUACUGGUUGGCUUGAGGGCAGUCGAGGGUGGUGGAAUUCCGGGUGUAGUGGUGAAAUGCGUAGAGAUCCGGAGGAACACCAGUGGCGAAGGCGACACGCUGGGCCAUACCUGACGCUAAAGCGCGACAGCAUGGGGAGCAAACGGG
rnacentral:rRNA from 1 species